UACGGAGGGGGGCUAGCGUUGUUCGGAAUUACUGGGCGUAAAGCGCACGUAGGCGGCUUUGUAAGUUAGAGGUGAAAGCCCAGGGCUUAACCCUGGAAUUGCCUUUAAGACUGCAUCGCUAGAAUCGUGGAGAGGUGAGUGGAAUUCCGAGUGUAGAGGUGAAAUUCGUAGAUAUUCGGAAGAACACCAGUGGCGAAGGCGACUCACUGGACACGUAUUGACGCUGAGGUGGCGAAAGCGUGGGGAGCAAACAGG
rnacentral:rRNA from 1 species